rnacentral:lncRNA from 1 species
UCCAGCUGUGCCUGUGUCCAGUGGAGGAGCAGGGUGGGAUUCAAACCCUAAAUGGGAUUUAUCCAGUUUUACAGAGAGGGCUGGUGGCAGACAAAUGUCCAGUUAUGGGAUUACUCCCCUUCCUCUUCUUGCUCCAUCAUGGAAAUGAUGGAAUUAAUGAGCUGAUCUCGUUUAUUCCAAGGGAGAACCUGGCCCGCCAGGAAAAGGAGUGGAAAUGGAGGACCUGGAGAGGCUUUUUGAAGCGUAUGGGAUCAAGCUGGCGCUGCUGAGGGAGCUCUCCAACGCGAUCCUGCGGGACAGGCUCCUGUGGACCAGCAAAACUUCCAGGGAAAACCAGGCAGCCGUGCCUGUCACCGUGAGUGUGUCACCUGGCAGCGGUGACAGACCUCCAGGGAAUGAGGGAGAUGGGAAUGAGCCACCACCAGGGUCACCUCUGUCAUCGAGCAGGUCACGGUGGCUUGGGGCAGGCACCGGGAUCUGGGAUAUUUGGGAUGGUCCUGGUGUGAAGGACAGGUGUCUGCCAAGAAAGGCAGAAGCUGCUCUUUGAAAUGGAGAAUGUAAACCCCGUCCCUCCAAAUUAUUAUCAUUUUGAAAUUAAGGUGCUCCUAGGCAAAGAGAUGGGAAUUAGGAAUAACAGUUCUUCACUAGGAAAAUUCAAAUAGAAAUGCAGCAUUACAAAGAACAAUCCCAAACCCUGCCAGAGUCAGAAUCCAAGCUGACACCCGUCAGUCAGUCAGGGUGCUGGCAGCAGUCCCAUUCAAUGGUGGCUGCAUCCUCCUGCAGUGGCAGAUGUGGUUCA